AGAUUGAACGCUGGCGGCAGGCCUAACACAUGCAAGUCGAGCGCGAAAAUUUCUUCGGAGAUGAGUAGAGCGGCGGACGGGUGAGUAACGCGUAGGAAUUUGCCCAGUAGUGGGGGACAACUCGGGGAAACUCGAGCUAAUACCGCAUACGCCCCAAGGGGGAAAGCAGGGGAUCUUCGGACCUUGCGCUAUUGGAUAAGCCUGCGUCGGAUUAGCUAGUUGGUAGGGUAAAGGCCUACCAAGGCGACGAUCCGUAGCUGGUCUGAGAGGAUGAUCAGCCACACUGGGACUGAGACACGGCCCAGACUCCUACGGGAGGCAGCAGUGGGGAAUAUUGGGACAAUGGGGGGCAACCCUGAUCCAGCCAUGCCGCGUGUGUGAAGAAGGCCUUAGGGUGUAAAGCACUUUCAGUGGGAGGAAAAGUCGGCGGCUAAUAUCCGUUGACCCUGACGCUACCCACAGAAGAAGCAACCGGCAAACUCCGCGCCAGCAGCCGCGGUAA
rnacentral:rRNA from 1 species